UGGGGGCCCGCUGAGAUGCUGGGGGCCCCGCGGCUCCCUGAGGAGGACCGCCGUGACCCGGAGGAGAACCGGUGGCUCGGCUGCUCAGAACCAGACCUGAAGGUGAGAUGCUGAGGAGGCGGAGCUUGGUUCUGGAAGAGCUGCGGUUCUGAUGGACCCGGGCCGACCUGUAAACCUGCUGGGCGUUGAGCUCCUGGAGACGCGGCAGCAGGUGAUGGUCCUCCUUACAUCACUUCCUGUUAGGUCUUCUCUGCAGGUUUCAUGUUUAACGUUUAUUUUCUGUAACCGGAGGAUUUUCUGUGAAUGAUUUCUGCAGCAGCUGGAGACAAAACUUCAAUAAACGACUAAAAAUCCA